UACGUAGGGGGCAAGCGUUGUCCGGAUUUAUUGGGCGUAAAGAGCGUGUAGGCGGUCUGGUAGGUCCGCUGUGAAAACUCGAGGCUCAACCUCGAGACGCCGGUGGAAACCAUCAGACUAGAGUCCGGAAGAGGAGAGUGGAAUUCCUGGUGUAGCGGUGAAAUGCGCAGAUAUCAGGAAGAACACCCGUGGCUAAGGCGGCUCUCUAGUACGGUACUGACGCUGAGACGCGAAAGCGUGGGGAGCGAACAGG
rnacentral:rRNA from 1 species